GUGCACCAGUCGCGAAAACUCUGCAAUACGCGAAAGCGUGACGGGGCUACCCCGAGUGUCGUCCGCUGAGGACGACUUUUCCACGCUGUAAAGAGCCGGGGGAAUAAGGAGAGGGCAAGUCUGGUGUCAGCCGCCGCGGUAAUACCAGCUCUCCGAGUGGUAGGGACGUUUAUUGGGCUUAAAGCGUCCGUAGCCGGCUCAACAAGUCUCCCGUUAAAUCCAACGAUUCAAUCGCUGGACUGCGGGAGAUACUGCUUGGCUAGGAGGCGAGAGAGGCCGACGGUAUUCCCGGAGUAGGGGUGAAAUCUUAUAAUCCCGGGAGGACCACCAGUGGCGAAGGCUGUCGGCUAGAACGCGCUCGACGGUGAGGGACGAAAGCUGGGGGAGCGAACCGGAUUAGAUACCCGGGUAGUCC
rnacentral:rRNA from 1 species